rnacentral:rRNA from 1 species
CUUUUAACUACAGUUCGUGAUGUUCUGCUGGCGCGUAGAGUAUGGCGAGACUUGCUCCCUGAUGUUAGCGGCGGACGGGUGAGUAACACGUGGGUAACCUGCCUGUAAGACUGGGAUAACUCCGGGAAACCGGGGCUAAUACCGGAUGGUUGUUUGAACCGCAUGGUUCAAACAUAAAAGGUGGCUUCGGCUACCACUUACAGAUGGACCCGCGGCGCAUUAGCUAGUUGGUGAGGUAACGGCUCACCAAGGCAACGAUGCGUAGCCGACCUGAGAGGGUGAUCGGCCACACUGGGACUGAGACACGGCCCAGACUCCUACGGGAGGCAGCAGUAGGGAAUCUUCCGCAAUGGACGAAAGUCUGACGGAGCAACGCCGCGUGAGUGAUGAAGGUUUUCGGAUCGUAAAGCUCUGUUGUUAGGGAAGAACAAGUACCGUUCGAAUAGGGCGGUACCUUGACGGUACCUAACCAGAAAGCCACGGCUAACUACGUGCCAGCAGCCGCGGUAAUACGUAGGUGGCAAGCGUUGUCCGGAAUUAUUGGGCGUAAAGGGCUCGCAGGCGGUUUCUUAAGUCUGAUGUGAAAGCCCCCGGCUCAACCGGGGAGGGUCAUUGGAAACUGGGGAACUUGAGUGCAGAAGAGGAGAGUGGAAUUCCACGUGUAGCGGUGAAAUGCGUAGAGAUGUGGAGGAACACCAGUGGCGAAGGCGACUCUCUGGUCUGUAACUGACGCU